AGGACGAACGCUGGCGGCGUGCUUAACACAUGCAAGUCGAACGAAGAGCGAUGGAAGCUUGCUUCUAUCAAUCUUAGUGGCGAACGGGUGAGCAACGCGUAAUCAACCUGCCCUUCAGAGGGGGACAACAGUUGGAAACGACUGCUAAUACCGCAUACGAUCCAAUCUCGGCAUCGAGGAUGGAUGAAAGGUGGCCUCUAUUUAUAAGCUAUCACUGAAGGAGGGGAUUGCGUCUGAUUAGCUAGUUGGAGGGGUAACGGCCCACCAAGGCAAUGAUCAGUAGCCGGUCUGAGAGGAUGAACGGCCACAUUGGGACUGAGACACGGCCCAGACUCCUACGGGAGGCAGCAGUGGGGAAUCUUCCGCAAUGGACGAAAGUCUGACGGAGCAACGCCGCGUGAGUGAUGACGGCCUUCGGGUUGUAAAGCUCUGUUAAUCGGGACGAAAGGUCCUCUUGCGAAUAGUUAGAGGAAU
rnacentral:rRNA from 1 species